rnacentral:rRNA from 1 species
CUACGGGACGCACCAGGCGCGAAACCUUUACAAUGCACGAAAGUGUGAUAAGGGGAUUCUACGUGCUCAUGCAUUAGCAUGGGCUUUUGCUAAGCGUAAAGAGCUUGGAGAAUAAGUGGUGGGUAAGACUGGUGCCAGCCGCCGCGGUAACACCAGCGCCACAAGUGGCAAUCAGCAUUAUUGGGCCUAAAGCGUCCGUAGCUGGAUAUGUACAUCUUUCGUGAAAUCACUCGGCUUAACCGAGCGACGUGCGGAAGACACGGCAUGUCUUGGGAGCGGGAGGAGUCAGAGGUAUUUGGGGGGGACCGGUAAAAUGGUAUAAUCCCUCGAAGACCGCCGAUGGCGAAGGCAUCUGACUAGAACGCGUCCGACAGUGAGGGACGAAAGCCAGGGGAGCGAACCGGAUUAGAUACCCGCGUAGUC